rnacentral:lncRNA from 1 species
CGCGAGGGGGAUUCGGGCACGUCCACCUCCACCGCCUCACCCUGUCGGCCCCUGAAGGUCGCCUCGACAGCCGCGCCCCCGAAGAAGCCGCGUCCUCUCCCCGGUCCUGGGAUUCUGGAGAGCCCGCCCCGCCCGAAACCUCCCUGGCUCCCAGCCUCUCUGCCCUCGUCUUCUUAGGCCGGUCGUUCUGCCCCGCAGGCCUCCCUUCCUGAUCAACUUCUAAAAACUUACAUUGUCUGAGGAAGAAGCUGGUAAGAGGAGGAAAAAAGGAAAGAAAAGAGGAAUGGCUCUUUCCCAGGUAAAAUCGUAUUCCUAGUUGAUUCUCAGUCCUUCCUGAAAUCCCUUCUUUGGACUUACUAAUCACCUCUGACUCUGAAGUAUCCUUCCUGAGGCCUGUACAUGCACACUCACCAGGGAACUUCCCUCAGGGCCUGUCGUCUCCAC